AUGACUACAAUUGAUGUGUAUUUUGAUCCAGCCAAGCUGACAGAAAACAGGUCCAGGCACUGGCCCCACAGGUUUUUUGUUGAGUUUCAGUCACUGUGGUAUGUUUUCGGCAGUGGAACCAAACUCAGCGUCCUAGGACAGCCUAAGUCCACUCCCAAAAUCACAGUGUUUCCACCUUCUCCUGAGGAACUUCAGACAAACAAAGCCACACUGGUGUGUCUAAUCAACGACUUCUACCCGAGUGCUGUGACAGUGGCCUGGAAGACAAAUGGUGCACCUACUACUGAUGGUGUGGCCACUGUAAAACCCAGCAAAGAGGGCAAGAAGUAUGUGGCCAGCAGCUUCCUGAGUUUGACACCAGAGCAAUGGAAAUCGAACGAUCUCUUUACCUGUCAAGUAACACAUGAAGGGGACAUUGUGGAGAAGAGUGUGUCCUCUGCAGAAUGUCUCUAGGAGCUUAGCCUUCUCUUUAUCCUGGGAAGCCUGGAUCUAGAGGACCCAGAUUGGGGUCUCAUCUCUAUAUAGCCAUCUCAACCCUUCUCUUACCCACUGAAUGUUCAAUAAAAUAUCAUUAGUUAAUCAGA